UUAUGGCCAUAUCAUGUUGAAACACCUGUUCCCAUACAAUCACCAAAGUUGAGAAACAUUGAGCCCAGUCAGUACCUAGAUGGGUCACCAUUUGGAAAUAUCAGGUGCUGUAA